GAUGAAGAACGCAGCGAAAUGCGAUACGUAAUGUGAAUUGCAAAUUCAGUGAAUCAUCGAGUCUUUGAACGCACAUUGCGCCCCCUGGCAUUCCGGGGGGCAUGCCUGUUCGAGCGUCAUUACAACCCUCAAGCUCUGCUUGGUAUUGGGCUCUGCCGGUCCCGGCAGGCCUUAAAAUCAGUGGCGGCGCCACUCGGCUUCAAGCGUAGUAAUUCUUCUCGCUUCGGAGACCCGGGUGCGUGCUAGCCAGCAACCCCCAACUUUCUCAGGUUGACCUCGGAUCAGGUAGGGAUACCCGCUGAACUUAAGCAUAUCAAUAAGCGGAGGA
rnacentral:misc_RNA from 1 species